rnacentral:miRNA from 1 species
GGGUGACGUGUCGUGGUAGUUGGCAUUGGCGAUAAUCGCCUCGCCGCUCUUGAUGCGCGUGCGCAGGUCGUACUUGACGAUGUUGCGCGUGCGCUCUUUGUUGUAGAACACGGCACCGUCGUACACCACAAAGCCGGUGCC